rnacentral:rRNA from 1 species
UACGUAGGGAGCAAGCGUUGUUCGGAUUUACUGGGCGUAAAGGGCGCGUAGGCGGCGCGGUAAGUCACUUGUGAAAUCUCUGAGCUUAACUCAGAACGGCCAAGUGAUACUGCAGUGCUAGAGUGCAGAAGGGGCGAUCGGAAUUCUUGGUGUAGCGGUGAAAUGCGUAGAUAUCAAGAGGAACACCCGAGGUGAAGACGGGUUGCUGGGCUGACACUGACGCUGAGGCGCGAAAGCCAGGGGAGCAAACGGG